rnacentral:snoRNA from 1 species
UUGCAAGCCUCCAGCAUGCUUGGGUCUGCAGUGACCCUGUGCAUUCCUACAGUGCUUGCAAGAACAGGUUUGAAAUGGUUUCAGGCCUUGCUCUGCUCCAUCUACAGACCAAGGUAAUAGACAUUUAGACCGUU